rnacentral:tRNA from 1 species
AUUUAUAUAGUUUAAAUUAAAAACCUUACAUUUUCAUUGUAAUAAUAAAAUCAUAUUUUUAUAAAUA